CAGUGUCAGACCAUGACAGGGGUACCUGACAGACUUCAAGUUCUGUUUGUCUGUUCUGUUUGUCUGACAGAGUUCAAGAAGCAUUUGAACAAUACUCCUGGGCACACAAUGUGAUUCUUGGGGAUGGUGCUCUGCAGGGCUGGAGUUGAUGAUCAUUGAUGGCCCCUUCCAAGUCAACAUAUUCUAUGAUUCUGUGAUUUAAUUGCUGAACAGUUGCAAUAUUUUGAAAGAGGAGAAUCCUUUACAAAAAUAAUUUUGUAUUUGUUUACACUCAUUCUAUUUUCAUCCUCCUGUUGUCUCCUCUCUCCUUAGCACUGGAAAUCAUAGCUCCAGCAUGGAAACCUCAACAGAUGGGCAGAACUUCCCUUCUGAACUAUGGCAUCUUCAAGAAGGAUUCACACACUUAUCACUUGCUUCUCCUCCCAUUUCCUGCUCCAGCAGAAUGGAGAAGAGAAUUUAUGAAUACGCAAUGCUGAUCUAUUCUACACCAUUGCCGUCCCAGCAGAAACCUCUUUGACCCUGUCAAACUAGGUUGCAAGAUCAAAACCUGCUGUUGCUGCCCAAGAAAAUCCUAGCCCAGUGUAUUGAAGAACAGUUACUAGACCUACAGGGGUAGCAGCAGUCUCACCAAGAACUUUCACAAGCCUGACAACAGCAGCAGCCAGCUGCCAGAAGAAAACAGCAGGCAUUUUUCAUUCAUGCAGACCCAUUGAAAUGGGCCUUUUCUUUUGGCUUGUACAAGUCUCUGGACAUGUUAUUUGCUACAGAUAUUUUGCCAGAUCCAUUCCUGCAAUUUGACUCACUGAAAAAGGACGGUGUUUAUUUCUAUUAGGAAUGGUAGUGGCCAAAUUCUUACCACAGCUGGAUAUGGUAGGGUGGUCUUGUUGUUUCUUUCUGCUUCUCUACCCUUUAUGGUUUCAGUUAAGUCUGGAGAAAGUGUAAGGAAUAUUGGGAAAUAAUGGAAUACUUUUUCAGAGGUAAUCAUUAUGCAAGCCAGGACAGAAUAUAUCCUCUGAGAUCUUCAACUGGUGUAGCUUGUGCUCAUUUGAUUUAUAAAUUUGGCUCUGCAAGAGGAAAAUAGAUAGAUUUCAGGCUGUCUUAUUUAAUAGAAGCCCACUGACAACUUUGAGGGCUAUGUUGGUUUUGUUCUUUUCCAGUGCAAGGCCAGACCUAUAUUCUACAGAUAAAGGUUGACCUGCAAAACUCCUUUCCCUGUGAAGUCUGAGAUUUUUGUCUACAGAGGGUGGUACUUCAGACAAAAUGUCAUAGCAUAAUUUUAUCUAUCUUUGUGCUAUCAGUCUUGAAAUAAACUCUGUUACCAUAUAGGUUUAUUUCA
rnacentral:lncRNA from 1 species